UACAGAGGUCUCAAGCGUUGUUCGGAUUCAUUGGGCGUAAAGGGUGCGUAGGCGGCGCGGUAAGUCGGGUGUGAAAUUUCGGAGCUUAACUCCGAAACUGCAUUCGAUACUGCCGUGCUUGAGGACUGGAGAGGAGACUGGAAUUUACGGUGUAGCAGUGAAAUGCGUAGAGAUCGUAAGGAAGACCAGUGGCGAAGGCGGGUCUCUGGACAGUUCCUGACGCUGAGGCACGAAGGUCAGGGGAGCAAACGGG
rnacentral:rRNA from 1 species